UGCAAUGAUGAUUCAUUAGACUAGAGUCUCUGAUUUUUCCAAAUGAAGUUCUUUUACAGUGCUCUGAGCA